AGAAUUUUCUGCAGUAGGUGCGAUAGAUUCUAUCUCGGAAGACUGAACUUUUGGUGUUGGAGUUGAAGUUUCCACUGGGAUAGGAGGAAAAACUGCUACCUGUUGCUGUGUAUUGGUUUCAUUAAAAUUCCACUUAGAACUUUCAUCAAAUUUUACAUCACGGGAUAUCACAACUUUUCCAGUUUUUGGAAGAUAGAUUUUAU
rnacentral:lncRNA from 1 species